rnacentral:rRNA from 1 species
GAUGAACGCUGGCGGCGUGCCUAAUACAUGCAAGUCGAGCGAACGGACGAGAAGCUUGCUUCUCUGAUGUUAGCGGCGGACGGGUGAGUAACACGUGGAUAACCUACCUAUAAGACUGGGAUAACUUCGGGAAACCGGAGCUAAUACCGGAUAAUAUUUUGAACCGCAUGGUUCAAAAGUGAAAGGCGGUCUUGCUGUCACUUAUAGAUGGAUCCGCGCUGCAUUAGCUAGUUGGUAAGGUAACGGCUUACCAAGGCAACGAUGCAUAGCCGACCUGAGAGGGUGAUCGGCCACACUGGAACUGAGACACGGUCCAGACUCCUACGGGAGGCAGCAGUAGGGAAUCUUCCGCAAUGGGCGAAAGCCUGACGGAGCAACGCCGCGUGAGUGAUGAAGGUCUUCGGAUCGUAAAACUCUGUUAUUAGGGAAGAACAUAUGUGUACGUAACUGUGCACAUCUUGACGGUACCUAAUCAGAAAGCCACGGCUAACUACGUG